UACGUAGGGUGCAAGCGUUGUCCGGAAUUAUUGGGCGUAAAGAGCUCGUAGGCGGUCUGUCGCGUCGGCUGUGAAAUCCCGGAGCUCAACUCCGGGUCUGCAGUCGAUACGGGCAAACUGGAGUACUGCAGGGGAGACUGGAAUUCCUGGUGUAGCGGUGAAAUGCGCAGAUAUCAGGAGGAACACCGGUGGCGAAGGCGGGUCUCUGGGCCGAUACUGACGCUGGAGGAGCGAAAGCGUGGGGAGCGAACAGG
rnacentral:rRNA from 1 species